AGGGGCUGGCGGGGCUGAAGGGUGCCAUGGGCUUCCAGGGCCCUGCAGGGCCGGCGGGAGAAGGUGGCUCAGUGGGUCCCCCGGGCCCUGCUGGUCCCAUGGGAGAGCCGGGCCAGCCGGGAUCCCUGGGGUGCCGAGGCAUCAAUGGCUCUCAGGGGGAAAUGGGCCCUCCCGGGAUGGCCGG